UACGUAGGGGGCGAGCGUUGUCCGGAUUUAUUGGGCGUAAAGAGCUCGUAGGCGGCUCAGUAAGUCGGGUGUGAAAUCUCGGAGCUUAACUCCGAAACUGCAUUCGAUACUGCCGUGCUUGAGGACUGGAGAGGAGACUGGAAUUUACGGUGUAGCGGUGAAAUGCGUAGAUAUCGUAAGGAAGACCAGUGGCGAAGGCGGGUCUCUGGACAGUUCCUGACGCUGAGGCACGAAGGUCAGGGGAGCAAACGGG
rnacentral:rRNA from 1 species